rnacentral:lncRNA from 1 species
AUUUUGCACUGCACUAUUGAGUACCUAAACCAUACGAAAGUUAUUUUCGCUACUUGCUUUUUUUAUUAAAAAAGUUAACAGCUGUUGGACGUACAAGUUAUUUUCUCACAUAUGCAUGAAAAAGAAAGGAGAAAGCCCUGACUAGUGGAAAUUCAAGCAAGCCCACAAAAGUCACAGAAAUGGGCGUUAUAUCAUCCCAUAACAGGUAACUAAAAUAUAUUGUCAUUCCUCUAUAGACCAAUUCUUAUGGCCACAUAUACAGAGCUAUUCAGUUAAGAUAUAGCAGCUUCUGCACACAUCAGGAAACCUUCAGUAAGGCACAGAAGUCAUAGGAGAAACAAGCUGCCCGCAAGUGAAGCUAAUUUAAGAAGAACUCAACCAACUUCAAGAAUUUUUUUUAAUUCAUUAAAGAAGGCCACACAGAGACACAAGCCCAAGUCCAAAUCAGAACCACAGAUCCUGACACAAAUAAGGUGUGUGCUGAAUCUGGAUUUUUGAACAUGGAGGUUCAGUAUGGCGAAUUAUAAGAUACUGCAAAAGGGCAUGGUACCAGCUCAAAGAAAGAUGGUAUGGCGUCUAAAAAUGGAGAAUUGGUAGCUGCAUAUUAAAUCACUUUAAAAAAACAACUUGUUGUUCAGCAGAGAGGCUUGAAUUUCUAGGAUAACAAAGGCGCAGACGUAGAACUUCAAGUGCUGCUUACAGAGCAAUUCAGCAUUUAGAUAGUUCAGAAAAGUAGAAUCUUGUGUCUUUGGACUUUUAAGCACUUAAUGCUUUAAACUUGAUGUAGAUACACUAAGAAAGGAAACACACACUCCACCCCCAUUCCCCUUCACCACCCACCUCCCUGUAGCCCUACUCAACUGUAACCCCCUC